UGCAGAAAAGACUUCAGUGUCCUGCACCUUAUCUUGCUAGGUGAUCUUCAGGAUCUUCCCAAGACAGUAGGAGAAAAGGAGAGGAACCUGUGAGCAGAUGAACACACUUCAAUGGAGUAGAACUUAUUCUUGGCGCAUCAGAAGUUGGCUCCUGUCUAGGUCUCCAUGCCAAAAGAAAAAGGUUCCCAGCUCUCAUGCAUGAAGUCAAGCUAUCAAAAUAUUGCAUAUUUACAUAACAUGAAGAGGAAACAAAGGACUUGUUUGCAAGGCUGUAAAAAGUAAAGGCAAUGUCUUUUCCUAUCCAGUAACCUUUGCCUCCACAAAGGAACUAACUACAAUCUUUCAGAUCCUUAUAUUACUAAAAUGGAUGCCCCUCCCUAGGUUCACUGAGGAAAGAAUCAACACAAUAUACAUAACUCAUAGUACCAAUGAAGGAUAAGACCUUUUUCAUCAUUGUUUUGUGUGAUAUGAUGAUAUGGUGGAAAGAGGUCUGAAAUUAGUCAAGAUUUGAAUUCCUUUUACCACUUUUAUGAACCUUGCCAGGUCUCAAACUGUGAGAUUCAGUUUCCUCCUCUUUAAAAUGAAGGAAUUGGACUAGAUCACCUCUAGAUCUCUUAAGCUUCCUUUUAACUCUAAAAUCUUUAAAGAUUUGCAAGAUACUGGCAACAUUUCAUUUCCCCAUUUUCCUACCCUGACAUCCCAAUUUACUAAAAAAGAACCAGAUCUCCAGCUACUUUAGGCUUAAAAUCUAAAAAUUUAAGAAAUUUAAAUGUUGGUUCACAUUGUCACCUAUUUUUAUAUAUCUAGAUCUUAUGCACCAACUAAUUUGGUUACCGUCAACAUGGAUUUUAAAGACUUGGUUUCCUAACCUGGUCCAGAUCCAAACUUUCCCUUUCCUGGAACCUACUUAUCCCUAAAAGAUAUCCUAGAUCUAUCCACUCAACUUAUUCCAAACAAAACUACACAAUGUGGGAUGUCAAAAUCAUCAUGAAACAUCUUUACUUGUAGAGACAAAUACAUUUGCUCAUGAUCAAGACUAAUUAUCAUAGCCUGGAGCCCAGCUCUGCGCUGAGGAACCUUAGAAUCUAGCAAAGCAAUUCAUUUGCAGUAGGUGCUAAUAUAUUUUCAUAGAAGAAUAAAUAAAUAGAUAGCUAGAGAACGCAGAUCUACUAGGGAAUUUCCCACAUUUUCAAUGAGGAAGAGGACUACUAUUUUCAUGAAGGGUGAAUAGCAAGUUGGGGAGUAUGACUAUUAGGCUUUAUCAUAAAAAGGAAGCAGUUUCUAUAACUGGAAGAGAGCUUUUCAUGCCAAUGCUUAUAGCAAGGGAGCAAUAAGAAAAAAUGAGAACAAGCCACAGAUUAUAUACAACUAGAGUUUACAAAUAAAAUGGCAAAUCAAAUAGAUUAGGAAUUCCUGGGAUGAUUGAGCAUGUUUUGUGGUGUGUGGUGGAAUGAUCUUUACAUAAUAAAAGCAAGUUCAUGUAAA